AGCCCCGUCGUCUAGCGGUCAAGGACGCAGGCCUCUGGAGCCUGAGACGGCGGUUCGAAUCCGCCCGGGGCUA
rnacentral:tRNA from 1 species